GAAUUCGCCCUUAGAGUUUGAUCCUGGCUCAGGAUGAACGCUAGCGGCAGGCCCAAUACAUGCAAGUCGAACGAUAUUUUCCAGCUUGCUGGAAGAGAAAGUGGCGCACGGGUGCGUAACGCGUAUGCAACCUACCUUCAUCAGGGGGAUAGCCCGGAGAAAUCCGGAUUAAUACCGCAUAAAAUCACAGGAUGGCAUUAUCCAAUGAUCAAACAUUUAUGGGAUGGAGAUGGGCAUGCGUGUCAUUAGCUAGUUGGCGGGGUAACGGCCCACCAAGGCGACGAUGACUAGGGGAUCUGAGAGGAUGGCCCCCCACACUGGUACUGAGACACGGACCAGACUCCUACGGGAGGCAGCAGUAAGGAAUAUUGGUCAAUGGAGGCAACUCUGAACCAGCCAUGCCGCGUGCAGGAAGACUGCCCUAUGGGUUGUAAACUGCUUUUAUCCGGGAAUAAACCUCAUUACGUGUAAUGAGCUGAAUGUACCGGAAGAAUAAGGAUCGGCUAACUCCGUGCCAGCAGCCGCGGUAAUACGGAGGAUCCAAGCGUUAUCCGGAUUUAUUGGGUUUAAAGGGUGCGUAGGCGGCCUGUUAAGUCAGGGGUGAAAGACGGUAGCUCAACUAUCGCAGUGCCCUUGAUACUGAUGGGCUUGAAUGGACUAGAGGUAGGCGGAAUGAGACAAGUAGCGGUGAAAUGCAUAGAUAUGUCUCAGAACACCGAUUGCGAAGGCAGCUUACUAUGGUCUUAUUGACGCUGAGGCGCGAAAGCGUGGGGAUCAAACAGGAUUAGAUACCCUGGUAGUCCACGCCCUAAACGAUGAACACUCGCUGUUGGCGAUACACAGUCAGCGGCUAAGCGAAAGCGUUAAGUGUUCCACCUGGGGAGUACGCCCGCAAGGGUGAAACUCAAAUGAAUUGACGGGGGCAAGGGCGAAUUC
rnacentral:rRNA from 1 species